rnacentral:ncRNA from 1 species
UGUUAGAGCAUUGAGAGGACCUUUCCCUAGUAUGAUAGGACCGGGAAGGACGCACCACUGGUGCACCAGUUAUCGUGCCCAUGAUAAACGAUGGGUAGCUAAGUGCGAAGUGGAUAACUGCUAAUAGCAUCUAAGUAUUAAGCCCACCACAAGAUGAGUGCUCUUCUAUUUUGACUUCCCCAUAGCUUUUGAUAUCACAGCUGAGAUAGCGAUGGGUUCUAUGCCCCUGUAGGGAUGGAGCAAUAGAAGUUUUUUUGAGAAUUCAAGAGAAGAUCAUGGCGAGAUGAGUCAUUUAUCAUUAUGAUAGGUGUCAAGUGGAAGUGCAGUAAUGUAUGCAGCUGAGCAUUGUAACAGACCGG